GCCUGGGUGGCUCAGUCGGUUAAGCGUCUGACUUCAGCUCAGGUAACGAUCUCAUGGUCCGUGAGUUCGAGCCCCGCAUCGGGCU
rnacentral:tRNA from 1 species